UGACUUGGGACUAAUAAUAAGUUCACGCUGU
rnacentral:piRNA from 1 species